rnacentral:rRNA from 2 species
AGACCCGAAACCCGGUGAUCUAGCCAUGGGCAGGUUGAAGGUUGGGUAACACUAACUGGAGGACCGAACCGACUAAUGUUGAAAAAUUAGCGGAUGACCUGUGGCUGGGGGUGAAAGGCCAAUCAAACCGGGAGAUAGCUGGUUCUCCCCGAAAGCUAUUUAGGUAGCGCCUCGUGAAUUCAUCUCCGGGGGUAGAGCACUGUUUCGGCUAGGGGGCCAUCCCGGCUUACCAACCCGAUGCAAACUGCGAAUACCGGAGAAUGUUAUCACGGGAGACACACGGCGGGUGCUAACGUCCGUCGUGAAGAGGGAAACAACCCAGACCGCCAGCUAAGGUCCCAAAGUCAUGGUUAAGUGGGAAACGAUGUGGGAAGGCCCAGACAGCCAGGAUGUUGGCUUAGAAGCAGCCAUCAUUUAAAGAAAGCGUAAUAGCUCACUGGUCGAGUCGGCCUGCGCGGAAGAUGUAACGGGGCUAAACCAUGCACCGAAGCUGCGGCAGCGACACUGUGUGUUGUUGGGUAGGGGAGCGUUCUGUAAGCCUGUGAAGGUGUGUCGUGAGGCAUGCUGGAGGUAUCAGAAGUGCGAAUGCUGACAUAAGUAACGAUAAAGCGGGUGAAAAGCCCGCUCGCCGGAAGACCAAGGGUUCCUGUCCAACGUUAAUCGGGGCAGGGUGAGUCGACCCCUAAGGCGAGGCCGAAAGGCGUAGUCGAUGGGAAACGGGUUAAUAUUCCCGUACUUGGUGUUACUGCGAAGGGGGGACGGAGAAGGCUAUGUUGGCCGGGCGACGGUUGUCCCGGUUUAAGCGUGUAGGUGUGUGUUCCAGGUAAAUCCGGUUCACUUUAACACUGAGGCGUGACGACGAGGCACUACGGUGCUGAAGCAACAAAUGCCCUGCUUCCAGGAAAAGCCUCUAAGCAUCAGGUAACAUCAAAUCGUACCCCAAACCGACACAGGUGGUCAGGUAGAGAAUACCAAGGCGCUUGAGAGAACUCGGGUGAAGGAACUAGGCAAAAUGGUGCCGUAACUUCGGGAGAAGGCACGCUGACACGUAGGUGAAGUGAUUUACUCAUGGAGCUGAAGUCAGUCGAAGAUACCAGCUGGCUGCAACUGUUUAUUAAAAACACAGCACUGUGCAAACACGAAAGUGGACGUAUACGGUGUGACGCCUGCCCGGUGCCGGAAGGUUAAUUGAUGGGGUCAGCGCAAGCGAAGCUCCUGAUCGAAGCCCCGGUAAACGGCGGCCGUAACUAUAACGGUCCUAAGGUAGCGAAAUUCCUUGUCGGGUAAGUUCCGACCUGCACGAAUGGCGUAAUGAUGGCCAGGCUGUCUCCACCCGAGACUCAGUGAAAUUGAACUCGCUGUGAAGAUGCAGUGUACCCGCGGCAAGACGGAAAGACCCCGUGAACCUUUACUAUAGCUUGACACUGAACAUUGAGCCUUGAUGUGUAGGAUAGGUGGGAGGCUUUGAAGUGUGGACGCCAGUCUGCAUGGAGCCGACCUUGAAAUACCACCCUUUAAUGUUUGAUGUUCUAACGUGGACCCGUUACCCGGGUUGCGGACAGUGUCUGGUGGGUAGUUUGACUGGGGCGGUCUCCUCCUAAAGAGUAACGGAGGAGCACGAAGGUUGGCUAAUCCUGGUCGGACAUCAGGAGGUUA